GACGAACGCUGGCGGCGUGCCUAAUACAUGCAAGUCGAGCGCUGAAGGUUGGUACUUGUACCGACUGGAUGAGCAGCGAACGGGUGAGUAACGCGUGGGGAAUCUGCCUUUGAGCGGGGGACAACAUUUGGAAACGAAUGCUAAUACCGCAUAAAAGCUUUAAACACAAGGUUUAAGUUUGAAAGAUGCAAUUGCAUCACUCAAAGAGGAUCCCGCGGUGUGUUAGGUAGUUGGGGAGGUAAAGGCCCAACCAAGCGAUGGUACCUAGCCGGACGGGGAGGGGUCGUGGCCACAUUGGGACUGAGAAACGGCCCAAACCCCUACGGGAGGCAGGAGUAGGGAAUCUUCGGCAAUGGACGAAAGUCUGACCGAGCAACGCCGGGGGAGUGAAGAAGGUUUUCGGAUCGUAAAACUCUGUUGGUAGAGAAGAACGUUGGUGAGAGUGGAAAGCUCAUCAAGUGACGGUAACUACCCAGAAAGGGACGGCUAACUACGUG
rnacentral:rRNA from 1 species